GGAGAAUAUUACUGAGUUCCCAUAUGCUCUCUACUCUUGGCUCUUGCUGUUACUAACAUCUUCAUUCGCAUCACGUAUUUGUCACAGUUAAUGAACUAAUGCUGAUACACUCUUAUGAAUUGAAGUCCCUGCUUUAUUAAACUUUCCCUUGUUUUUGACCUCAUGUCUUCUUGUGUUCCGGAAUCCCACCCGGACACCACAUCACAUUUAGCCUCCAUGUCUUUUCAGGACCCUCUUGGCUCUGGCAGUGUCUCAGACUUUCCUUGGUUUUGAGAACCUUGACAGUUUGAGGAGUACUGAUCAGAGUUCUGGAGGCCGGAGGCUGGAAGUUCAAGAUCCAGGACAAGCUCUCUCAGAUGGUGCCGUCCAGCUGCAUCCUCACAUGAUGGAAGGGGUAAGGGAGCCCACUGGGGUCUUUUUCCAAGACCACUCAUCCUCAUCCCACUCCCAAGGGCUCCACCCUCAGUACGGAAUCACCUUCCAAAGGUCCUGCCUCCUAAACCAGCACCUGGGGGGUUACAGCUGCAUCUGUGAAUUUUGGGAAGGCCACAAACAUCGGACCACGGCAGGUACAAGCUAUCCACGUGAUUGAUGGCUGAUGGAUGUUGACCUUGGUCCUUGGGCUGAGGGCAUGUUGUGUUGUUUCUGCCUGUCAUCCCCACACCCCAUUCCCAUUCUACAUUCCUUGGAAUGAAAUCACCAUGUACAACCCACACUCGAGGAGUUGGGGGUUAUACUCCAUUUCCUUGAGGCAGCAUAUCUAGAAAAUUAUCUAGAAUUUGGGGGCAUAGGAGCUUUGACUAUUGUUCCUCAUUUAUUCAACAGUUUAUUUAUAUCGAUGUGGACUCACGCAUAUUGAUUUUGUACUUUGGGUUAUAAUCCGCUACGACAUUAUUUAUUACACUUUGCUCAAAUGGUUCCACUUUGGCCACAGGGAGCUUUCCGUUGGCUUCCGUGUCCCUGGGACACACCCUGUCAUCGGGUUUUGUUGGAGCACUUCCUUACUUUCUGGCACAGUGAGAUGCUCCAGCCUCAUCUUGUCUAUUUCCUGCCCCAGACCUAGUGGGGCAUUUCUCCCCAGGAGCCAUUUCUCCCAGGAGCCCUGGAUCUUUUAAUUGGAGAAUGGCAGAAACCAAGAUCAAGGCACUAGGUGUGCUCACUGCUACUGGGGUGUCAUUGCUUCUAGGUCCUCUCAGCCAACAGAGCAAGGAAAUAGCUGUGUAUCAAAGAAGUUGUGUAUGUAUACAUGUAAACAUCUCUAUGUGUAUCCAUCUUUAUUUGUAUUAAACCAGGCACGAGCUCAUACUGAUGUCUCCUCCACUAACCCGUGCCCACACGGAUCCUUCUAGCCUCUUCCUCUUGUUUAUCUGUGAACUACCUCUCUGGCACUGAGAAAAAGGCUCCCACCGCCCAGCAUCCACUCACUUAGCUGUGCAAUCCCAGAAUACACAAAUAGGGGCUUCAUAUUUGUUAAACCACAUUCCUGUGAGAGGCAACUUUUCAACUGGAGAACAGUACUCAUGUGCAGUUCCUUUUCAGUGACUUCUUUCACUUAGCAAUACGCGUGUAGGAUUUAUGCAUGUCAUUGCACAGCUUGAUAACUAUUCCUUUUAUUGCUGAAUCAUAUUCCAUUGCAUGGAAGUGUUCGUUUCUUUAUCCACUCACCUAUUAAAGGACACUUUGGUUGCUUCCAGUUUUGGGUGAGAGUAAAUAAAGCUGCUAUCAACAUCCGCAUGCAGUUUUUUGUGUGGAUA
rnacentral:lncRNA from 10 species